GGAUGUUCCAGCAGCUCCAGAUCCCUCCUGUGCUGGGGACCCCAGAGCUGGAUUCCUGCUCACUUCCCUCAGGAUCGUAUUUGAGCUCUUUUGGUCCUUUUUUACUAUUUUUGGGUUACAGAAUAACACCCUCAGCUUCCAAUUUAUUGCCUCAUGAAGAAAGAAAAUUAGUCUUAUCUUUUUUUUUAUCUCAAUUACAGGAGGGAAUGAGUGCUAAAAGCCACAAUUCAUACAUAGGUGGAAAAAAAUUGUUCCUAAGUGCCCCAGCAUUGGGCUUUAGCUCAGUAAAGCUCAUGCCCAGCUGUGAGGAUGUUUAUGUUUUAAUGGGCCUUGACAUCAAUCACAACCUGAGCAGGUCAGAAUUCCAGGUUUCCCCACUCAUGGUGGAGUUUGGUUCUACAGCAGAAAACAAAGGAAUUGGAAGAAGAAUCCUAUUAAUUCCGGCUGCUCUAAUGCAAAACUGGGUUUCAUUUUUAGACUUCUAUUUUCUACUUUAAUUAUAUAAAUCUGAACAUACUUUCGAGAUUAUGAAAUAAGAGCCGGGAAGCCAGUUAUUUUUCAUCAUUUAUUUUUAAAGCAAAUUUAUCUUUGAAUUGUCAUCUGUUAAAAUUCCUGAGAAGCAGACCACAAAUGAGUACAAUAUGAACAUGAUUUUCCAUGCCAGCCCAAUUCAAGUAAAAGAUGUAAAGAUUUUUUUUUUAUUUUUUUUCUUAGGUUUUCCUUUGAACACAAAGUGUGACCAGUUCCACCUCUGCAAGCCUUGGGUCCAAGUUUACAAUGUGUUUGUGCACACUUGCACAUGUACAUACAAAUAAUACCAAACUAAGCCAUGUAUUGGCAUCAUAAACUCAAUUAAAUCUCUAAUUUAAUGGAUUCCAAAACCUUGAAAUGUUCUGCAAAGGGAACAGCAAUGGGAGCACAGGAAAGAGCUAAAAAAUGCUGUCUUGGAAAUGACACAGAAGAGGAUCCCUUAGUGCUUCCUUUCCUUUGUGGAUCCUCCUCUGUCUGAAAGCCCUCCAAGAUCUUUUUUUUUCCCCACUCAAGUUCUGGUCACUGACAUGUCACAACAUAUCACAUCCUAUGUGGACAAGUCCUUCCUUCUGAAGGUGCUGAAAACUGCAAAGUUGGGAAAUUCCAUCCUCCAAACUGGUUCCUUUACUAGAAACUUGAUGGACACUUUGGUUAAGAAUGGAAAUGUUUGUCUUCACUUGUCGUUCACUUUAUUCUGCUGAAGAGUUUGGAGCCAACUUCUUUUAGCCAAGGUUUAUCACGUCCAUGCUUUGGUUAUGAACACAACCACGAGGCUCUUUUCCUACACAGAUUGUCAAUAAUAUCUGUGUAAAUUAUCUAUUUUUAAUAAUCCUUUUUGCAUUAAUAAGGCAAACCUCUAAGCAUCUCACCUGGCCAAGGAUCCUCAAAUGUAGGUUCAGCAUCCUGGAAUUUUUCUAAUCCCUGGCAAAACGUUUCCUCAUCUUUGGAUUUGCUUUAACCUACUUUUGUGCAAUAAUAAGAUCUUUCUAGCCAAGUGUGUCUUCUCCAAGGAUACUUAUCUUCUUUUCAGGCCAUUUAAAGUGCUUUUUCUCUCUCUGACAGAGAAAAAAGGAUUGAACUAUAAAGUAUAUCUUCAUUCUUCCUUUGUAACUUGCAAAUUUGGCAUCUAAACUAUGCCAAAAAUGAUUGCUUUUGGGGGCUUUGGUGAAGGAUUCUGACUGUGAUAUAAAGAGGAAGGAAUAUAAGUAAAACAAACAUUUAUCACUGCAAUUUGCAUACCAUGUUUAGCUCAGCUAUGAUUUAAACCAGCACAUAAAGCCCCAAAAUUGGUCUUUGAAUGGAAAAGUUGAGCUUAACUGCAGCAAUGCUGUAAGCAUUGUUACGAUAUAUUGGAACAAAAGAACUUAACAUUCAUUCCUGGCUUCUCUUUCAAAUUUAUGAACUUCCUGGUAUAUUUUUUGCAUGAACUCUGAUGGGCUGAGCCAUCCAUAUCUAUCUGCAAAGGGCUUCAGUGAAAACUUAGUGCUUUGAAAAGGUUUCAGUGUUUAUUUAGUUGCUUUUACAGUGCUUUGGAUCCUCUGCUGCUAAAUGUCUUCCCUUGAAGCCAGAAUUCACGUUUUCAGGUCUCCAUCUAAGCAACCUUUUGGGACAAAGUAAAGUUCCUGAAAGCUUAAGCCCAAUAUACUGCAGCACAAUUAUGAAUUGAACAGGGAAAGGAAAUUGGAAGGAGCAACUGAAGAUAUUUUACUCUUAUGAAUUAGUACACAAAUACAGACUUAUAGCCUGCAUGUGUGUUUUGUUUUUGCUGAUGGCUGUAACUAAGGACACCUGUAAGUCAGGGGAAAAGGGACAGAAUGAAAACUAAAGGGAGGGAAAAUGUAAUGAUAUGCAGCAUUUCAGAGCUGAUUUGGAGCCUGUUAUGUGAGCCUUAAAAACUUGUUUUCCUUCUCCUGGAAAACCUGUAUCAUUUAGCUGGUGUGCCUUAGUGUAAAGUAUGAAAUAUAAUGACUUUUAAAAAGAUUCUUACAGCAUUUCCAAAGGAAAUGUUGAGCUAAGUGUAGAAUUUGUGGGAUCAGUUAGCUUAUAAAUAAUGAUCCUUUAUGCUGGCAUUGGGAAAUCCAUGUUCCCACAGCUAGUUCAAUAAAGCAAUUAAUAUCAAUGAAUGCUGAAGAAAGCAAAUCUCCGUUCACUUUUGUCUGGAUUAGUUAACAUAAGAAAAAUCCCAUCCCUCUCCUGGAGUAUUUAACCUUCUCCUAGGAAGACAUGCUAAUGAAAGGUAAAUAAAAUGUGCUGCUUGACAUGUGUUUGCCAUUCCUCCCCGUUCCUCGUGUCACACACUUUCCCUCUUACAAGACAAUCCACAUUUUUUUUCCUCUGGAAAUCUUCACUGAGGUUAUUUUGUUUCAUGCAUCCCUCUGUGCCAAACCUGUCUUGUCAUUCUCCCUCGGCCUUCCUGCUGGUGUUUCUAGGCUGUUUCUGCUCAGCUGAAUUUCAUUAGAGAGGGACUUCACCUCCAGAACUCACAGAUAAUGUGUCUCGAGCACACACAGAGCUGAAAUCCGCCACGUAGAGAAUUCCUGACUUACUUGGCACUGCAUCCAAUCCAGGGGCAAGUGCUCCUCCUCAUCCAGGGCAUAUUUCUGUAGCCCACGUAAAACUGUCCACUAAAGGAGAAGGAAGGUCUGUCGAGGGAAUGGGUGUGGUUUCACUGACCUCAUCCCACAGCCACGAAUUUGUGCGUUCAGGCUUCGGACAUCAAAUUUUUUGAUAAAAGCGAGUCAUAAAACCGCCCUGAACUUUCCCUGUGUUUGGCUCUGUUAUCUGAGAUUUCACACACAAGCAGUAUAAAAAAAAAAAAUAAAAAAAAAAAAUAGAAAAAAAGAGCUUAAAAGAUUUUUAUCUUGGAGCUGCCAAGAAGUGUGGUAAUAAGGUAAAGGUUGAGAAGCAUUGUUGGCAUAAGAAAUCCCCUCCUUCCCCUGGAUUUAUAACACACCCAGUUUAGUAAGAACUGGCUCUGCUGAGCAUUUUCUGACAGUGUUGGGAUAAUAUAUUGCAAAAGGCAGAGUGGCCAAGUCUCACACCUGAGGAGUAAGACACACUUCAUCCUGCCCAUGGAGAAACCUAAAUCAAACCUUAACAUUACUACAAUGCAAUUACUCCUCUCCUAGGAGCUCCAGCUCUUCAGGGUUGAGGCAUAAAACUUGUGAUUUUGGUGUACUGGAAGAGUUUAUUAACCCCUUAAGUAUUUGUAUGGCCUCUGCUUUUGGAGGGAUAGGCUUUUAAAGUUUAGUAGAUGUGUUUCAAAGGGAAGUAAUAGAGUGUGAUGCCAUGGGUGUGAGGCCAAAGCAGCUUUGCAAUGGAGUUUAAUUUUUUAAAGAGUAAAUAAAACAAUAUGUGGA